rnacentral:rRNA from 1 species
UACGUAGGGUGCAAGCGUUGUCCGGAAUUAUUGGGCGUAAAGAGCUCGUAGGCGGUUUGUUGCGUCGGCUGUGAAAUCCCGAGGCUCAACCUCGGGUCUGCAGUCGAUACGAGCAAACUAGAGUGUUGCAGGGGAGACUGGAAUUCCCGGUGUAGCGGUGAAAUGUGUAGAGAUCGGGAGGAACACCGGUGGCGAAGGCGGGUCUCUGGGCAAUUCCUGACGCUGAGGCGCGAAAGCGUGGGGAGCAAACGGG